UAUUCUGCCCCAUGGGGAAGGAUGAGAAGCUUCGACUAAGGUUCGACUCGAGCGAAGCGAGAGAUCGUUGCCGCAGGCAACGGCCCGAAGGGCGAGGCGCUUUAGCGCCGAGUAAUCCUUCCCCCACCACCA
rnacentral:sRNA from 1 species